rnacentral:rRNA from 1 species
UACAGAGGGUGCGAGCGUUGUCCGGAAUCACUGGGCGUAAAGGGCGCGUAGGCGGCUUGAUAAGGUUGCGGUGAAAGCCCGGGGCUCAACCCCGGGUCGGCCGUGGCAACUGUCGAGCUGGAGCACUGUAGAGGCAGGUGGAAUUCCGGGUGUAGCGGUGGAAUGCGUAGAGAUCCGGAAGAACACCGGUGGCGAAGGCGGCCUGCUGGGCAGUGGCUGACGCUGAGGCGCGACAGCGUGG